rnacentral:rRNA from 1 species
GACGAACGCUGGCGGCGUGCUUAACACAUGCAAGUCGAACGGAAAGGCCCUUCUUUGUUCGGGUGCUCGGAUGGCGAAAGUGUGACGAACACGUGAGUAACCUGCCCUUGACUUUGGGAUAACUUCCGGAAACUGGUGCUAAUACCGGAUCAGAGCUCCUGCUGCAUGGUGUGGGUAGGAAAGUUUCGGCGGUUGGGGAUGGACUCGCGGCUUAUCAGCUUGUUGGUGGGGUAGUGGCUUACCAAGGCGUUGACGGGUAGCCGGCCUGAGAGGGUGACCGGCCACAUUGGGACUGAGAUACGGCCCAGACUCCUACGGGAGGCAGCAGUGGGGAAUAUUGCACAAUGGGCGGAAGCCUGAUGCAGCAACGCCGCGUGCGGGAUGACGGCCUUCGGGUUGUAAACCGCUUUCGGCUGUGACGAAGCGUGAGUGACGGUAAUGGGUAAAGAAGCACCGGCUAACUACGUG